UCUCCCGUGAGGGAGCAGUCUCGCCUGAAAAUUAACAGGCAACGGGGGUUGCGUUCGUUACCCCACUGAAGGGAACAGUUCAAACCACGAACUGACGACAACCAUGCAUCACCUGUCCAACACCCUCGAAGGCUCCAGUCCUUUCGGAUAGGAUGCAGUUGGAUUUCUAGCCCUGGUAAGGUUCUUCGCUUGCCGACGAAUUAAGCCACAUGAUCCACCGCUUGUGCGAGUCCCCGUCUAUUCCUUUGAGUUUUAAGCUUGCGCUCGUACUACCCAGGCGGCUCGCUUACCGCGUUAGCUUAGUCCCGCAGAGGGUCGAUACUCCGCAGAACGAGCGAGCAGCGUUUAGGGCCAGGACUAC
rnacentral:misc_RNA from 1 species